AGCUUUGUGCAGUGGCAGUAUCGUAGCCAAUGAGGUUUAUCCGAGGUGCGAUUAUUGCUAAUUGAAAAGUAGUAAAAUUGUCAUCCCCACUUUUAAAAUUUCCAAAUAAAUUUGCUUUUGAAUGACAUUUAUUUC